rnacentral:rRNA from 1 species
GGGGACGACGUCAAGUCAUCAUGGCCCUUACGCGUAGGGCUACAAACGUGCUACAAUGGCUGUGACAGUGGGCCGCAAUACAGCAAUGUAAAGCUAAUCCCAAAAAGCAGUCUCAGUUCAGAUUGUCCUCUGCAACUCGAGGGCAUGAAGCUGGAAUCGCUAGUAAUCGUAGAUCAGCAUGCUACGGUGAAUACGUUCCCGGGUCUUGUACACACCGCCCGUCACA